AUGUGUGGACAUGACAAUGAAACACUGUUUCACUCGCUUAUGGAGUGUGACCACGCAAAACGUUUUUAGGAAGCAGCAGAACGCUUCUUUGGUAUUGAUAUACCACGGUUACACCCAUCGUCAUGGUCUCGAGAUCUGUUAGAUCCUCGUUUGUUCAAGAAGGAGGUUGUGGCUAUUAUGAUCACUGUGAUGUGGGCGGUGUGGCACUCGAGAAACAAUUAUACUCAUGGUGAGGUAGUAUACCAGCCGGUCAAAUCAAUGGUGAUUAUAGAAGAGAUUAUCAGGGCUCUGGAGAUCCCUGAGAGGAGGAGGGCCCAAGUUACUACUCCCCGGAGGUGGCUACACCUGAGGAUGGGUGGAUAA
rnacentral:rRNA from 1 species